rnacentral:misc_RNA from 1 species
AACGCACAUUGCGCUCGAGGCCUCGGCCGAGAGCAUGUCUGCCUCAGCGUCGAUGUAUACCCCUCACAACUGCCUACCCUAACACGGUAGCCACCUGUAGACCUGGCCGUCUCGUGUAUUUGCUCAUUCCAACGAAUGUUUUACAGCGAGUCGGUCGAAGCGAAGACGCGCACCAGGACCAUUGCAUCCUAACACGAUGCAGGGCCGCAAUCGGGUAGGGACUGCCUUGCUAACACCAAGGCUCCAUACUCUUUUGUUGGCUUGUAUGGCACUGUUAACUGCGCUCUCAACCGGGAAUCCACACACGUAAUCGUGUGUUUACAUCUUCGACCUGAGAUCAGGCAAGAACACCCGCUGAACUUAA